AUUAUGUGGAACUUAUAGCGGUAUGGGGACUUUCUUCGUCUGAAAGUGUCACGUGCACUGCCAAAUCAUCGGUCCCGAUAAAAGGCCUUGUUUCCCACAGCGCGUUAGCGUUGUGACGAAACUCUUCUCCAAUAAUUGGAGUUUAUCGUGUCAGUGAUUGUGUCAGUGACACCACGGCGACGUGACAGUGAUCUCCGUGUCAGUGACCGGCGAUGUUUUCCGAGUGUAGGCGGGCCAGGCCGGGCGCCACCCCAGACACCUCGCAUCUCUCGUUUGGUGUGGCUCGGCUUCUACGGGACAACAGCGGCGAGGGACAGACAGCGGCAGCGGCGGAUCACAGCGACAUGCGACGAGACGGACAUCCUACUGGCGCAGCGAGACGGAAUCAGUCAUCGGUCCAGCCGUCAUCGACGUGGCUGUCAUCGGCCAUCCCGUCAUCAGACGAUGCGUCAUCGGCGGCGUUAUCAUCACCGAAUCGACUAUCCACGAUUUCAUCCUCAGCGACAAGGUCGUUAUAUCUGUCAUCAAUGCACCCAGACAAAGCCUCGUCUCAGUUCAGUUUGUAUUCAGGUUGCAGCCAUAAGUCAGCCUUUGUUCCCGUCGUCGCAUCAACUCGGUCCAUGGAAAAUGGAAAAAUGCUGAAUGGUUGGCCAAAUGGCGCUACUGACUCCUCGAUGAUUGGAAGAGGUACGUGAGCUCGAAGAAGUAUUUUCAAAAAAGAAGUUCUUAGAUGACGACCAGCGAAAGGCUAUCGCAGGUCAACUGAAACUGACCGAGCUUCAAGUGAAGACUUGGUUUCAAAAUCGACGAACAAAGUGGAGACGAGAGGCAGAGGAAGCGAAGACGAUGAACGAGCUUUUAAAAGAGCGCCAGGGAUGAGGGAGGUUUGCACUGGCGACAGGCGACCUAUCCUCAGUCUUAUCCAACAGUGACUGGGCCACAGAACCAAUGACCGCUGGACCAGUGACUGUUCGGACCAGUGCUUACGGGAUCAGUGACCGCUUGGACCAGUGAUUGUGGGGCCAAUGACCGUUUGGACCAGUGAUCACAGGGCCAGUGACCGUUUGGGCCAGUGAUUACCGGACUAGUGGUCGAUUGGGACAGUAAUCAAAAGGCCCGUAAAUGUAGGUAUGUGUAGCUAGACCAGUGGUCAUGGAACGGUGAAUAAAUUCCCGAGCAGGAUUCCAAGCCGCAGAGCCGGCACAGCACUGAACAGUGUCAUUCAAGUUAACGGCAAACAGUACCUAUUUUUUACCAGCUGGCAGCUUUUAUUCCUCACGUAGGUACUUAAAAGAAUUAAUUUAACAGAAUUACGCCAACUGAACUCGUGUCAAUGUUUUAUGAUCUGUCUGCGUUAUACUUGCAGCAAUUAUAAGUGUGAUACGAUAUGCAAUAAAAAGACUAUAUGGA